UAUAACUCAUAUUCGUGGAGUUUAUCAUUGGGGUAAGUUUCAAUAGGUUAGUGUGCUUUGCGAAUUCACAGGCCCUAUCUUGUGGUAUGAACUAAGUACGCGAUGAUUUCUGGUACGUAUUGGGGGCUUACCAUAAGAUAAUGCCGUGAAUUCGUAAAGCGUUCAAACCCACCGAAGUGUUGUGUAAAGGUAAAUAUUUGUAAGUGUUUGUGCUUGCGCGCCAGUCCCAUGCCUCCAAUCUGAGCUUGCGCGUCACUCCCGCAUCGCCGCGGCGCAGGUUAGAGGCGGCGAUGGGAGGGCGGCCACUAGCAAUAGCCGAUAGAGGAUGAAGUGCGUAGAGCAGGGGACUCUCCGGUGAUAGAUGACCCAUACUCAGAUUAUGAAUCACCUAUUGAGGAGCAAAGGGAUUACGAGCGGAUGGCCUGGACCAAGCUUUGACUAGAGAUGGAAGAACAAGAGAGGGAGCACAAGAAGAGGUAGGAGAAGGGGGAGAAGAGGAGCGGCAACACGUACAAGGGUGGGGACAACGCAUGAGCAUGUAGUGUUAGUCUAAACUCGUGCGUUGAUCGUCUCCACUCAUGCAGAAUUAACUCCUGUCUUCAAAUUCUCUAAAUGCUUUAAGCACAAUUGUGUAUACACGUGAUGUGUUGUGUCUCUAAAUUUCCUAAGUGCUUCGUGCACAAAUUGUAUGUACUCGUGAUGGUCUUUUACCUCUAAAUUCACUACGUGACUUGUGUACAUUUAUGGUUUGUUUGUAUCAGUGAUUGGAAAUAAACUUUACUUUGCAGAACUUUUAUAAUAA